rnacentral:rRNA from 1 species
UACGUAGGGGGCAAGCGUUGUCCGGAUUUAUUGGGCGUAAAGAGCGUGUAGGCGGCUAGGUAGGUCCGUUGUGAAAACUCGAGGCUCAACCUCGAGACGUCGAUGGAAACCAUCUAGCUAGAGUCCGGAAGAGGAGAGUGGAAUUCCUGGUGUAGCGGUGAAAUGCGCAGAUAUCAGGAGGAACACCGGUGGCGAAGGCGGGACUCUGGGCCGAUACUGACGCUGAGGAGCGAAAGCGUGGGGAGCGUACAGG